rnacentral:rRNA from 1 species
CCUACGGGUGGCAGCAGUGGGGAAUAUUGGGCAAUGGGCGCAAGCCUGACCCAGCAACGCCGCGUGAAGGAAGAAGGCUUUCGGGUUGUAAACUUCUUUUCUCAGGGACGCAGAAAGUGACGGUACCUGCGGAAUAAGCCACGGCUAACUACGUGCCAGCAGCCGCGGGAAUACGUAGGUGGCAAGCGUUAUUCGGAUUUAAUGGGUGUAAAGGGCGUUUAGGCGGGAGCGCAAGUCAGAUGUGAAAACUCAGGGCUCAACCCUGAGCCUGCAGUUGAAACUGUGUUUCUUGAGUGCUGGAGAGGCAAGCGGAAUGCCGGGUGUAGCGGUGAAAUGCGUAGAUAUACGGAGGAACACCAGUGGCGAAGGCAGAUUGCUGGCCAGUAACUGACGCUGAGGCGCGAAAGCGUGGGGAGCAAACAGGAUUAGAUACCCCUGUAGUC